rnacentral:rRNA from 1 species
CCAAUAGCGUAUAUUAAAGUUGCUGCAGUUAAAAAGCUCGUAGUUGAAUUUCGGGAUCAAUAUGUUGGUCGUGCCUUGGUACGUACUAGCUUAUUGAUUUCUUCCUUCUGACGAACCAUGAUGUCAUUAAUUUGGUGUCAUGAGGAAUCAGGACUGUUACUUUGAAAAAAUUAGAGUGUUUAAAGCAGGCUCACGCUUGAAUACAUUAGCAUGGAAUAAUGAAAUAGGACGUUUGAUUCUAUUUUGUUGGUUUCUAGGAUCGACGUAAUGAUUAAUAGGGAUAGUUGGGGGCAUUAGUAUUCAAUUGUCAGAGGUGAAAUUCUUGGAUUUAUUGAAGACUAACUACUGCGAAAGCAUUUGCCAAGGAUGUUUUCAUUAAUCAAGAACGAAAGUUAGGGGAUCGAAGACGAUCAGAUACCGUCGUAGUCUUAACCAUAAACUAUGCCGACUAGGGAUCGGAUGAUGUUAAUUUUUUAAUGACUCAUUCGGCGCCUUACG